rnacentral:lncRNA from 1 species
UUAAAAAUGUAUUAGUAAGAAACGACAGAGCAGCAUCUAGCUGUGCAGGGUUCUUAAUCUGAAGCGACAUAGCAAGGAAUACUUCAGAUCAACAACAUAAGGAGAAACAAGCACUGAAACAUAACUCACCCUUCGCUUGAGCUCCUAGAACAGAACAGAUAAUGCAAAAUGUGUGUUAAAAGUGGACUGAAAUAUCAAUAGGCGGCAAAUAUAUACCUUCAUCGAAAUGAUAUAGCUAAUGAGAUAAGGACGAUGGACGAGUGCAUUUGUUGGGUAUUUCGUGGAAACCUGUUUCAUUCAUGAAUAAGUGCCAACAUGAGCCACACGCAUAAAACAAAAAUCUCAAAUGUAGCAGGGGAAAUUGGUACAGGUGCGUAUUGUACAUAGAAGAUUCACGAACAAGCAUGGGAGCCACUUAUUAUAUUUGUUGAUUGCGCUAGCAAGGAGAUCAGUUCCAAAUUCCAACCUCUAUUACCUGCUAUUCCUAACAGAAUAUCUCAUGAAAACUCAAAAGAAUGCUGAACCAAACAGAAAUUUACAAUGUUGUAAUUAGCUGCUCAAAGAGACUAUCUGCCUAAUACAAACUUUGAUGGAUGGCAACAUUGGAUCAAUCUACGUGUUCUAUGGUAACAUACCUGUACUUGCUCACUGUCUUUUAAGCUUAUUGGGUAAAAUUCUAGCCAUCCUACUACACAUUCGAUAUGGAUGAGUCAAUGAUAUAAACAUUGUGGUCCACUGGCUGAACAUAAGAACUCGGUAACCAUCAUUUGCUAAAGAAGGUAGAAGUUCUGCUAAGGCCUUAAAAAAGCCGAAAGUAAGGUAAAUCAUAAAUUGUACUUCAGUCAUAAUAUGCCUCGAUAGAAGACAUUUUAGUAAGCAAAAAACAGUUUACUUGCUUUAUUGUUGUUCUUCUUUUGAUAGAUGAGAGAACUUGCUAAUCAGAUAAAGGAAAAAAGGAAAGAAAAAAACACUACACCUGACAUUUCGCUGAUGCAAGAACAUGAUCAUCUUUUAGGGCACCCUUUGCACCAGUAUCACCAUAUGUAAUCAACAGCCGCAUGACAAACUAAAAAACAGAACAGAAACACAUGGUCACAACGAAAUGCCAAUUUAUUUCAUUUGAAACUAAACUACAAUGAUGCUAUGAUAAACUGAAAGGGGACGUCAAAGGGCGAAUUCAAAAUAUUUUCUCA